rnacentral:rRNA from 1 species
UGGGGAAUAUUGCACAAUGGGCGCAAGCCUGAUGCAGCAACGCCGCGUGAACGAUGAAGGUCUUCGGAUCGUAAAGUUCUUUUGCAGGGGAAGAUAAUGACGGUACCCUGUGAGGAAGCCCCGGCUAACUACGUGCCAGCAGCCGCGGUAAUACGUAGGGGGCUAGCGUUAUCCGGAUUUACUGGGCGUAAAGGGUGCGUAGGUGGUCUUUCAAGUCGGUGGUUAAAGGCUACGGCUCAACCGUAGUUAGCCUCCGAAACUGGAAGACUUGAGUGCAGGAGAGGAAAGUGGAAUUCCCAGUGUAGCGGUGAAAUGCGUAGAUAUUGGGAGGAACACCAGUAGCGAAGGCGGCUUUCUGGACUGCAACUGACACUGAGGCACGAAAGGGUGGGUAGCAAACAGG